CCUACGGGAGGCAGCAGUGGGGAAUAUUGCACAAUGGGGGAAACCCUGAUGCAGCGACGCCGCGUGAGUGAAGAAGUAUUUCGGUAUGUAAAGCUCUAUCAGCAGGGAAGAAAAUGACGGUACUUGUUUACUUAGCACUUGCUAAUUACGUGCCAGUAGCCGCGGUAAUACGGAGGGGGCAAGCGUUAUGCGGAUGUACUGGGUGUAAAGGGAGCGGAGACGGCUGCACAAGGCAGGAGUGAAAUGCCGGGGCUUAACCCCGGAACUGCUUUGGAAACUGGGCAGCUAGAGUGCAGGAGAGGGAAGUAGAAUUCCAGGUGUAGCGGUGAAAUGCGUAGAUAUGAGGAGGAACACCAGUGGCGAAGGCGGCUUACUGGACUAAAACUGACGUUGAGGCUCGAAAGCGUGGGGAGCAAACAGGAUUAGAUACCCUUGUAGUC
rnacentral:rRNA from 1 species